rnacentral:siRNA from 1 species
GAUUAAAGUCGGCAAGCAAAUGAA